rnacentral:rRNA from 1 species
UAGGGAAUAUUAGAAAUGGGCGCAAGUCUGAUCUAGCAACACCGCGUGUGCGAAGAAGGCCUUCGGGUCGUAAAGCGCUUUUUGGAAGGAAUAGGAAGGAAUGUACUUCCAGAAUAAGUCUCGGCUAACUACGUGCCAGCAGCCGCGGUAACACGUAGGAGGCGAACGUUAUCCGGAUUUACUGGGCGUAAAGCGCGUGUAGGUGGUACUGUAAGUAGGGCGUGAAAGCUCCUGGCUCAACUGGGAGAGGCCGUUCUAAACUACAGAACUAGAGGAUGGUAGAGGGAGGUGGAAUUCCAGGUGUAGCGGUGGAAUGCGCAGAUAUCUGGAGGAACACCGGUGGCGAAGGCGGCCUCCUGGACCAUUCCUGACACUCAGACGCGAAAGCUAGGGUAGCAAACGG